AUUGAACGCUGGCGGCAGGCCUAACACAUGCAAGUCGAGCGGAGCGGCGGACGGGUGAGUAAUGCCUAGGAAUCUGCCUGGUAGUGGGGGAUAACGUCCGGAAACGGGCGCUAAUACCGCAUACUAUCAGAUGAGCGUUGGGCGGAUUAGCUAUUUGGUGGGGUAAAGGCCUACCAAGGCGACGAUCCGUAACUGGUCUGAGAGGAUGAUCAGUCACACUGGAACUGAGAGACGGGCCAGAGUCGAACGGGGGGCAGCGGGGGGGAGUAUUGGACAAUGGGCGAAAGCCUGAUCCAGCCAUGCCGCGUGCGGGAUGUCGGCCUUCGGGUUGUAAACCGCUUUCAGCCAUGACGCGGUAGUGGCAGAAGAAGCACCGGCUAACUACGUGCCAGCAGCCGCGGUAAUUC
rnacentral:rRNA from 1 species